CCUACGGGCGGCAGCAGUGGGGAAUAUUGCACAAUGGGGGAAACCCUGAUGCAGCGACGCCGCGUGAGUGAAGAAGCGUUUCGGCGCGUAAAGCUCUGUCAGCGGGGAAGAAACACGGUUCGCGAGAGCCGCGGACGGUACCCGACCAAGAAGCCCCGGCUAACUACGUGCCAGCAGCCGCGGUAAUACGUAGGGGGCAAGCGUUAUCCGGAUUCACUGGGUGUAAAGGGAGCGUAGACGGCGAGACAAGUCUGGAGUGAAAGGCCGGGGCCCAACCCCGGGACUGCUCUGGAAACUGCCUGGCUGGAGUACAGGAGAGGUAAGUGGAAUUCCUAGUGUAGCGGUGAAAUGCGUAGAUAUUAGGAGGAACACCAGUGGCGAAGGCAGCCUGCCGGGGUGCGACUGACGCUGAGGCUCGAAGGUGCGGGUAUCAAACAGGAUUAGAUACCCCUGUAGUC
rnacentral:rRNA from 1 species